ACAAUGGAGAGUUUGAUCAUGGCUCAGGAUGAACGCUAGCGGCAAGCUUAAUACAUGCAAGUCGUGGGGCAGCAUGAAGUAGCAAUACUUUGAUGGCGACCGGCAAACGGGUGCGGAACACGUACACAACCUUCCGAUAAGUGGGGAAUAGCCCAGAGAAAUUUGGAUUAAUACCCCGUAACAUUGCGAUGUGGCAUCACAUUGCAAUUAUAGCUUCGGCGCUUAUUGAUGGGUGUGCGUAUGAUUAGAUAGUUGGCGGGGUAACGGCCCACCAAGUCUACGAUCAUUAGCUGAUGUGAGAGCAUGAUCAGCCACACGGGCACUGAGACACGGGCCCGACUCCUACGGGAGGCAGCAGUAAGGAAUAUUGGUCAAUGGACGAAAGUCUGAACCAGC
rnacentral:rRNA from 1 species